AUUUAAAAAAUAAAUUAAUCAACGGCACACGCUGACAAAUCAAAACACACCAUUCAGUGAUUGUGAAGCUAAUAAGA